UUUCAAAUCUUAGUUGUUGCUCUUGGCCC
rnacentral:piRNA from 1 species